rnacentral:rRNA from 1 species
GGGACGAUAAGACCCUAUAAAGUUUGUACACUAAACUAAUUUAGAGUGAUUUAGAUUUAUAAAGUUUACUAUUAGGAAGGUGUUUAGUUGGGGCGACUAGGAUACAAGUUAUCUAACUGUUUCUUUGUUAUAAUCAGAAAUAUUUGAGUUUAUGAUCCUUUUUUAGGAUUAUAGAGUAAAUUACUUUAGGGAUAACAGCGUAAUUUUUUUUGAGAGUUCUUAUCGAUAAGAAAGUUUGCGACCUCGAUGUUGAA